rnacentral:rRNA from 1 species
GACGAACGCUGGCGGCGUGCUUAACACAUGCAAGUCGAACGGAAAGGCCCCUUUGGGGGUCCUCGAGUGGCGAACGGGUGAGUAACACGUGAGUAACCUGCCCUUGACUUCGGGAUAACUUCAGGAAACUGGGGCUAAUACCGGAUAGGAAUCCUUGCUGCAUGGUGGGGGUUGGAAAGCUUCGGCGGUUUUGGAUGGACUCGCGGCUUAUCAGCUUGUUGGUGGGGUAGUGGCUUACCAAGGCUUUGACGGGUAGCCGGCCUGAGAGGGCGACCGGCCACAUUGGGACUGAGAUACGGCCCAGACUCCUACGGGAGGCAGCAGUGGGGAAUAUUGCACAAUGGGCGGAAGCCUGAUGCAGCAACGCCGCGUACGGGAUGACGGCCUUCGGGUUGUAAACCGCUUUCAGCAGGGGCGAAGCUUGUGGUGACGGUACCUGCAGAAGAAGCACCGGCUAACUACGUG